rnacentral:rRNA from 1 species
GAUGAACGCUGGCGGCGUGCCUAAUACAUGCAAGUCGAGCGAAGCGGGGACGGGCGAGUAACACGUGGAUAACCCCCUAUCUGACUGUGAUAACUUAGUGAAACCGGAGCACAACCCGAAUCUUAUCGCUGGUGCCGCGCUGUGUUAGGUAGUUGGUAAGGUAACGGCUUACCAAGGCAACGAUGCAUAGCCGACAUGUGCGGGGUAUCGGAAACACUGGAACUGAGAACCGGUCCAGACUCCUACGGGCGGAAGCAGUAGGGAACCUUGCGCAAUGGGCGAAAGCCUGACGGAGCAACGCCGCGUGAGUGAGGAAGGUCUUCGGAUCGUAAAACUCUGUUGUUAGAGAAGCGGUAUCUAACCAGAAAGCCACGGCUAACUACGUGCCAGCAGCCGCGGUAAUAC